rnacentral:SRP_RNA from 1 species
GCCUGGCAUGGUAGUACACACCUAUAGUUCCAGCUGCUCGGGAGGCUGAGGUGAGAAGAUUUCUUGUGCUCAGGAGCCUGGGCUGUAGUGGGCUAUGCUGAUCAGAUGCCCAUACUAUAUUUGGCAUCAAUAUGGCAACUUCUCAAGAGUAAGGAACCACCAUAUUGUCUAAGGAGCAGCGUACCUGCCCAGGGCAGAAAUGGAGCACAUCAAAAUUCUCAUGCUGAUUAGUAUCUGGAUUGUACCUGUUAAUAGCCACAGCAUUUCAGCCUGGGAAACAUAGCAAGACCCUGUCUCU